CAAGGAAAUAAUUACACAGCAGUGCUGGGUUUUUGGUUAAGGAGACUUCUGUUGCUUUCCCAGAACUCUGAGUUUCACAAGACAGACUGUCAAGCCAGACCAAGUAUUUGUAUUUCACCAAGACCUACUACACUAUGAACAGCGUGUCACUGAAGACAUGAAUCUGGGACUGGCAUAUAGAAGAAAAUAAAGUAUGGGAGAAGUUGCAGUGUGUCCAUGCUUUAUCAAAC
rnacentral:lncRNA from 1 species